CCCGUCCUCUGUAUUCUUUAGAUACAGGCUAGACAAAGAGAUGGACAAAUCAAUCUUAAUAUUAAUCAUCUGUCCUCCUGACAGAGCUUUACAGAGAGAAGACCUUUGCCCCCAUCCACACUUAAAUUACCUGCCCAUUGUUUCUCCACCCGCAUAGCUACUGGCAAUAAUUUUCCAGCUCCACCUGGGUUGCUUAACCUGAGAUGUGCUCUUCAGUGAUUGGGCCAGACUAGAGCUCCGCUGCCCAGGGUGCGGAUGUCUCCCUCCAUCAGCUGAAAAAUGAAUCAGCCCCAUUUAGGCAGCACAAUGCAGAUGUUUGCGUUGUCUUCACUGCACUUCUUAGUCAU
ensembl:lncRNA